GACGGAGGGUGCUAGCGUUGUUCGGAAUUACUGGGCGUAAAGGGCGCGUAGGCGGCUACGGCAGUCGGGUGUGAAAGCCCGGGGCUCAACCCCGGAACGGCACCCGAUACUCUGUGGCUCGAGACCGGGAGAGGUGGGUGGAAUACCCAGUGUAGAGGUGAAAUUCGUAGAUAUUGGGUGGAACACCGGUGGCGAAGGCGGCUCACUGGCCCGGUUCUGACGCUGAGGCGCGAAAGCGUGGGGAGCAAACAGG
rnacentral:rRNA from 1 species